rnacentral:tRNA from 1 species
GCUCAGUUGGUAGAGCAUGGCACUUGCAAUGCCAGGGUUGUGGGUUUGAUUCCCAU